GACAGAGGGGGCAAGCGUUGCUCGGAAUCACUGGGCGUAAAGGGCGCGUAGGCGGGCCCGCAAGUCGAUCGUGAAAUCCUUCGGCUCAACUGAAGGGGGUCGGUCGAUACUGCGGGUCUUGAGGGAUGCAGAGGAGACUGGAAUUCCCGGUGUAGCGGUGAAAUGUGUAGAGAUCGGGAAGAACAUCGGUGGCGAAGGCGGUCUGCUGGGCCGUUGCUGACGCUGAGGCGCGACAGCGUGGGGGAGCAAACAGG
rnacentral:rRNA from 1 species